UAAGGAAUAUUGCGCAAUGGGCGACAGCCUGACGCAGCGACGCCGCGUGGGGGAUGAAGGUCUUCGGAUUGUAAACCCCUUUCGGCAGGGAAGAUGGAACGGGUAACCGUUCGGACGGUACCUGCAGAAGCAGCCACGGCUAACUUCGUGCCAGCAGCCGCGGUAAUACGAAGGUGGCAAGCGUUGUUCGGAUUUACUGGGCGUACAGGGAGCGUAGGCGGUUGGGUAAGCCCUCCGUGAAAUCUCCGGGCCUAACCCGGAAAGUGCGGAGGGGACUGCUCGGCUAGAGGAUGGGAGAGGAGCGCGGAAUUCCCGGUGUAGCGGUGAAAUGCGUAGAGAUCGGGAGGAAGGCCGGUGGCGAAGGCGGCGCUCUGGAACAUUUCUGACGCUGAGGUGCGAAAGCGUGGGGAGCAAACAGGAUUAGAUACCCCUGUAGUCCCUGAGCGGGCUGGCAAGGCGCAU
rnacentral:rRNA from 1 species